rnacentral:rRNA from 1 species
UACGUAGGGAGCAAGCGUUGUUCGGAAUUAUUGGGCGUAAAGGGCGCGUAGGCGGUGCGGUAAGUCACCUGUGAAAUCCCGGGGCUCAACCCCGGAACUGCCUUUGAUACUGGGUAUCUCGAGUCCGGAAGAGGUGAGUGGAAUUCCGAGUGUAGAGGUGAAAUUCGUAGAUAUUGGGAAGAACACCGGUGGCGAAGGCGGCUCACUGGCUCAUUUCUGACGCUCAGGCGCGACAGCGUGGGGAUCAAACAGG